AGGGUUUGAUCCUGGCUCAGGACGAACGCUGGCGGCGUGCUUAACACAUGCAAGUCGAGCGGUAAGGCCUUUCGGGGUACACGAGCGGCGAACGGGUGAGCAACACGUGGGUGAUCUGCCCUGCACUUCGGGAUAAGCCUGGGAAACUGGGUCUAAUACCGGAUAUGACCUCCUAUCGCAUGGUGGGUGGUGGAAAGAUUUAUCGGUGCAGGAUGGGCCCGCGGCCUAUCAGCUUGUUGGUGGGGUAAUGGCCUACCAAGGCGACGACGGGUAGCCGACCUGAGAGGGUGACCGGCCACACUGGGACUGAGACACGGCCCAGACUCCUACGGGAGGCAGCAGUGGGGAAUAUUGCACAAUGGGCGAAAGCCUGAUGCAGCGACGCCGCGUGAGGGAUGACGGCCUUCGGGUUGUAAACCUCUUUCAGCAGGGACGAAGCGCAAGUGACGGUACCUGCAGAAGAAGCACCGGCUAACUACGUGCCAGCAGCCGCGGUAAUACGUAGGGUGCAAGCGUUGUCCGGAAUUACUGGGCGUAAAGAGUUCGUAGGCGGUUUGUCGCGUCGUUUGUGAAAACCAGCAGCUCAACUGCUGGCUUGCAGGCGAUACGGGCAGACUUGAGUACUGCAGGGGAGACUGGAAUUCCUGGUGUAGCGGUGAAAUGCGCAGAUAUCAGGAGGAACACCGGUGGCGAAGGCGGGUCUCUGGGCAGUAACUGACGCUGAGGAACGAAAGCGUGGGUAGCGAACAGGAUUAGAUACCCUGGUAGUCCACGCCGUAAACGGUGGGCGCUAGGUGUGGGUUCCUUCCACGGAAUC
rnacentral:rRNA from 1 species